rnacentral:rRNA from 1 species
UACGGAGGGUGCAAGCGUUAUCCGGAAUUACUGGGUUUAAAGGGUGCGUAGGCGGCAACGUAAGUCAGAAGUGAAAUCUCUCGGCUUAACUGAGGAACUGCUUUUGAUACUGCGUAGCUUGAAUAAGGUUGAGGUCAGCGGAAUGUGGCAUGUAGCGGUGAAAUGCUUAGAUAUGCCAUAGAACACCAAUUGCGAAGGCAGCUGGCUCGACCUUUAUUGACGCUGAGGCACGAAAGCGUGGGGAGCGAACAGG